UGGGGGUAUGUUUUAACGCUAGCCUUUUGACAAUAUUGGAUAACAAAAUUUGGAUGUCCAUUUUGAAAAUUCAAAUGAAAAUAAAAGCAAAUGAGGGAGGUAAUAUUAUUUUCCCAUGACACAUAAGGGAGGUAAUAUUAUUUUCACUGACACAUAAGGAAGGUAAUAUUAUUUUCCCUGACGACCUUUUCGGUGAGUAUUUAAUUUCACGAUUGGGAACAUUCACUUAUGGAAGCAUAACAAAUCAUAAAUGGUCAAAUAUUUAAAAUUAAAAACGGGAUGACUGGGUUUCAUCGUUUAAGGUAAGUACACCAGGAACUGUAAGGUUUGGUUCUGACAUUUGGUAAUGUUUAGUGGAUAUAUCAGAAUCCAUAUUCCCAUUUUGAAAUCCAUAUUCUGAAGUAGGUCUGCUUGCUUCCAUGCUUAUUUUCCUGAGUCCAUUUAUACUUCUAGAUGGUCGACGUCCGGACAUUUUCCUGUGGCUCAUGAUACAACUUGUUUGUCUGAGUUGACUUGCAUUCCGCUUGGUGUACAUCAUGCUAUCAUAUGUAGACAGACUGUAACUCCUCAUCAUAAGCUCUCUCAAACAAGCACAACACGGUAACCAGUUG
rnacentral:lncRNA from 1 species